AGGUCAUGUUGAGGACAAUUCCUUAACAAACACUUGUAACGCUCCCAUGCUUCUUAAAGUGACUCCCCCGGGUUUUGCUCAAAAUUGCCUAUUACCUUCUUGAGUUU